rnacentral:rRNA from 1 species
CUGCCGUGCAAAUGAGUCUUGUUCCUCCUUAAUCUCAUUCCUCUCAGACACAAACCCAACCCAAAUGUAAUAGUUAAGGACUAUUUAAAGGGGGUACAGCCCCUUUAAAAAAGGAUACAACCUCCGCCAGCGGAUAACCCCCCCCCCCACAUCUAACCCCGUGGGCCUUAAAGCAGCCACCCCCAAAGAUUGCGUCAAAGCUCCAUCAACCAAAAACCCCAAAAACCAAUGCGACUCCCUACAUCCAUAGCAAGCCAACCUAUAACAAUAGAUGAAUCAAUGCUAGAACGAGUAACCAGGACACUAUGUCCCCCUAAGCGCCAGCCUAUCCACCAUUAACAGUAAAACCUCAAUAACAACCACCCUCCCCUCCCACCAUUGAACGCAUCCUGUUAAUCCAACCCAGGGGCGCACACUGGAGUGAUCAAAAUCUACAAAAGGAACUCGGCAAACCUAAGACCCGACUGUUUACCAAAAACAUAGCCUUCAGCCAAACAAGUAUUGAAGGUGAUGCCUGCCCAGUGACACUACGUUUAACGGCCGCGGUAUCCUAACCGUGCAAAGGUAGCGCAAUCAAUUGUCUCAUAAAUCGAGACCUGUAUGAACGGCUAAACGAGGUCUUAACUGUCUCCUGUAGACAAUCGGUGAAACUGAUCUCUCUGUACAAAAGCAGAGAUGAGCCCAUAAGACGAGAAGACCCUGUGGAACUUCAAAAUCAAUAGCCACCUCACCCAACUUACAAAUCCACCCGGACCCACCACCCAAAACACUGGCUAAC